GGCUGAUGACAGCUUUCAGCUGCAGCUGAACUAGGCUGGAUUUGUCUCCUGCUCUCCAUAGGAAAGAUUGUUUCACGUGUAAUGAAAAGCUAGUGUCCAGAUGAUCACUGCGGCCAGAUGGCAAUUUUGAUGCCCUCGUCACUAAGACUUGUCCAAGCCCUGAUGUAUGUGAAGCUCAUCAGGAGGGAAUGCUCGCAAGAAUCAGCUAACACAAUAGCAGCAAGCUUUCAGUGACAGCGUUCAGGAAGGGUGACGAUUCAGGCUGGGAGCAGGAAAGCAGUGCGGAGGGAACGUGUGUGGUGAGAUGCUGAGGAGAGAUUGCCUUCCUUGCCCCAGCAGGCUGCUUGUGUCCUGGUGAUGCACGGUGACGAGAAGGCUGCUGUUCUGAACAGCACAAGGCAACAGAGGCGUUGACAGCAGCGAUGGAGAUGGAGAUGUUCGAGUGGAGGAGCUGUUGGCUCGCUGCAGCCACCCCAGCAUCCCCGGAGGUGGGCACGGGGGGGGGCUUUGGUGCUGCACAAACGACUGCAGGCAGAGGUGUAGGAAAGCGAACGCCAUACGUUUAAUAAUUUAACGUACAAAACAGCAAAUAAAUGAUUAUAUUCCCAACC
rnacentral:lncRNA from 7 species